GUGAGUCAUCGAAUCUUUGAACGCAUAUUGCACUGUUUGGCCCUCCAAACAGUAUGCCUGUUUGAGUAUCAUAAACACCCUACCAGCAGCUAUUGCGCGCUGGUGACGUGGGCGACAAGAGCGCAAGCCCUUCCGCCUUAAAUGCAGCGAUGAAUAAUGGCACUCUCGUCCGAGUGUGAAUCUCUUUGCGACAAGUGCGCUUUGCCUUGACAACAGAGUGGGUUCCACUGUAUGAGCGAGUGUGUCAUGUCGACGUUACGUGCGCUUCGGUGCACAUACAUAUACAGUAAUGAUCUCAAA
rnacentral:misc_RNA from 1 species